AAAAGAAAAGUCACUGCCACAGUAUGCAAGCAAGCCAGCCAUUAGGCUUGUUCUAAGCUGUUAAGCUGUCUUAGACUGUGAUGGAGUGAAUUUUGUUCUUCCUGUUAUUAACAGGAACCAUUCAGCAGAGAUAGAACUCCUACGGCCUCAAUUUUUGCAAUGUCAUUCCCUUACGACCAUGCUUUGUAUCUUUUUACUGACAGAGAUGCUAAAGCCUGGGACUAAUUUAGGCACCUGAUACCAUCAGACACCUGUGAAAAUCCCUCUCCUAAUGGCUUCAGCUUCACCUUCACCUUAGUGAUUCUGCUGGAAGCAAAGCUUUUUUUCAUAAACAGAGGUGUGAUUUUCACUGCCAGAGAAGGAAAGCCUUUUAACUGAAGAGUUACACCUGAAUGACUGUUAUCCCUUCAGGAAAAGAAAGAAAAAACCCUCAUGGGACCAACCAAUAACUAAUGAGUCUGUCUAUGGAGGUGAAGCAAGAAAAGCAUCACUUGUCUUGUUUGGUUUGGCAGAGCUGGAACACUUCAUAAGAGAUGAAGCUGCUACAACUUGCCUUCCUUUCUCCCAUAGCUGUGCAGCCUCUUCUGCCAAAAGCACUCUUCUAUUGGAGCACAUGCAGCAGGUGACACACUGUGGACAUGAAAAAAUACAGAAGACCCUUGUUAGGGCAUAUGAUACCAGACUAGAAGAACUAAGGAUUACGAAAAUAAGAAACAGUCCUUAUCCUGACUUCUUUUGCUGCUCAUUUGAAGGGUAUAUCUUCAAAAAUCAACUGCUCACAUACCUGUUUUGGUAUCUGAAAAACAAUUUUCUAAAUGUAGCUAAGCCAUCAGAUUUCAUAUGUAUUUUCUUAUAUGUAAGUGUUUAUUUUUUUUUUCAACCAAACUCAGUAAAUAAUUGUUUCGUGGUUUUGGAGCUGUUUCUGAACUUGAAUUCUCCAUAUAAGCUUAAGUUCCAGCGUUCAGCUGCCAGGUGGAAAUCACAGGAGAAAUGCUACUGAGAAUUAUGUUCUUGCUCUGUUCCAAGUGCUUUUUUGAAGUUCAUUAGGCAGCCCAGACCCACCAGGGCCCAGUAGUUAGCAGAUAUCCAUUCUGCUCCACAGCCUCAGAGAUCAACCAAUUGGAGUCAGUAAAAGAUUUUGCAUAUUUUUAAAUGGAAGUCUUAGUCUGCUGUCUUUCAGUUUUACAAGACUGUUACCUAUAUACGCACAUCUUAGAAGACUGUCUGCUUACACUCUAGCUUUGUCCCAUUUUUAAUAAAAACUGUGAUACCCAAUAGUUUGGAGCCAUUUGAGAAAUCUGUGCUGGUGGCAGCGAAACAUCCCUAUGUUCAGCAUGGCUUGAGUUUGCAUGGUGUCACCAAAUUCAUCCCAAACUCUAAUUAAAAUACAACUCAAGUAACAAAAUUUUAUCCUGAUUCCUACUAGAAGGUUGAAUUUGUUUUGGAUAUGAUCCUGGUUCUUUUGGUUAGUGCAGAGUCUGAAAUGUGUAAUGGUACCAGAGGCCACGUUUUACUUGUAAUAUAUUGUGCUGCACAGAUUACUGCAAGGCUUACUGCGUCUUUAUAAGAGAUCAGCUUGCAUUAUCUGUGAUAGAAACUUCUUGAUCUUGUUAUUUAUAUCUAUAUGUGUAUAUUUGCUUGAGUUUAGUAUGAGAAUUAAAAUGUGGCAGUGGGGCUUACAGAGUUCACUCCUUGCCACAGAAGUGGUGCAAGGUUACCAGGACCCAUGUAUAGCAGAGUUUAAGCAAAAUCAAGAGGUGACAUAGUUCUUGGUCUCUCUAGCCUUGUGACUUUGGAGGUGAGUGUUGAGUUUCCUGUUUGUAGCUGAGCCAGCUCCAGGAACAAUCCUAGCAGUAAAUCGUCUCCAAAGUUCUUCAUCUCACAUGAAGGUGCUGCAGCUACCAGCCCUAGAUGUCUGAGUUUCUGGUCUACAUCUGGAAGGAAGAAGCUGCUGACUUGCUGCUGAGUCAGGUAAUGGUUGCAAGUUUCCAUUGCUGCCAGUUUACCAAGCACUGUACAGCUGCUGCCUCUGUUUGAUAGCCUUUGGGAGUUAGGAUAUGGUAUAGGAUAUGACAUAGAUGCAUCUUCUGGUCAGAAAGGGAUGGAAAUAAGUAGAGUGGGAUGAUGGAAAGGGAAAGGGAGAAGAAGAAGAUGAGAAACAUCUUGUUUCUUGGCUACACAUAAAGGGUUUGGAUGAUGGCUAUAGACUUCAAAGUGAAGGACAUUUUAGGAAUAUAAAGAUAACCCCUGGUUGUCUGCAGAUUCUUUACCGUGUAGGUAACUACGAUACCUUCAAAGCUGCCAUUUAGCACAAAGUCAAGUUCUUUCCCCUCACUGUCUGCUCCGUUCUCUUCAAUGAGAAGAGACUAUAAAAAAGCAACAAAAACAUUGCUAUAUAUUAGUGUUGCACAGCCAAAAAAUUCCCCACAGUUUUUCUACAGCACAAUACUGUGUCUUCAGUAAGCUGUAUGAUAAGUCUCAUGUAUAAAACCAGACUGGAAAUGAGGACACUCUUUCCCACACUGUGUUCUUUGGCCAAGUAGAUCCCUUGAAAGAUCACUUUGCUGUUCUCUGACUCCCUUGUUCCCCUGUAAAAUGAUAUUUCGCAUGUUAGGAAAGCUCUUUGAGAUGUCUGGGUAAAAAUCUCUAAGCAAGAUUUAAAUAUUAUUCUAUUAUAUUCAUGCACACACUCCCUGAGCAUGUAUUCGGCGAUAUGAUGUUUUAAUGAUUUCCUUUACUGCAGAUUUCUAUGAAUUCAGUGUAAUUUCUAAAACUCUUCUUCUAUUCACUAGAAAAAUCUGUUCUUCAUAUUCCUAUGUGAAAAUAAACUCUAUUCAUUCAUUUAUUUUUAUUUAAAGUAAGAUUAUGCCUACUACAAUUCCAUCUGUAAAAUGUGCUUUGGCAUAUCCUUUAAGAAAGCACUUAUCUAAUCUAUUAAUCUUUUCCUAAAUUCAGGUCUUUCCUACACCUUUAUAUAGUAAAAAUAUAUUUUAACACAGAAGUGAAAUUCCCUAAGUACAAAGCCUCAUUUUAUUCUGUAGAAUUACGCUGUCAAGCAAUGACAGAAUAAAAUUUCCCCAGAUAGACAGAAAUACUGCAAUGGCCCAAUUUAUAUCUAUUCUAAAAUAUGGAUUUUACGAAUCAUUAAUCAUAUUUUUGUUAUGAAGUGGCAGGAAGCUGGCCUAAAAGUCUAAAGUAAAAUAUACUUCAUUGUCACAGAGAAAUCUACUCACCACCUGAACUACUUGGAAUUUUGAUUCCUGUAUAACAAAUACAAGGCACUUCAGGCAAGAAAAAUUAUGACAUAAUUGGCAAAAGUCCCAUCUCCAGAUGGAGGAACUUCUAAGACUGACACAUUAAGCUCACAUAAUUUAUGUUAUGGGAGAAAUAAAAUAACCAAAUUCCCUCUGAUUACACCAUCCAGGAGCAAGGUUUAAGCAGGCAUGUUCUCUGAAUUAAAACCAAAUUCUUCCCUGAAGUCUUCAACAAAUUUAGAAUACUAUGUUAUGAAAAAUACACAAAGGGCAAUUGCUGCAAUUAAGUCUAAGCUAUAGGACCCAAGAGCACUUUGCAGAGUCUUUAUAGAUUUGCUCCUGCUCAGGCAACUAUAUCCUAGUGAUUUAUAUGCCCUAUUCUUCUAAUAGAAGUGCCUACAAGACUCUACUUACACUUCCAUGCAGCAGGAUUAUAUUUUAGAUGGGGAAUGUCAGGACAGAAUGACAAGGGAGCUUGUAAUAUAGAGGGAAUUGAACCUGUACAUCAAAUACUACGGUGCUUUCCCCAUUAGGGAACAGCUGUUCCAGCCCAUGCAGAAGUUUGGAGGUCUAAGACAAGGUUGUUAAUGUAAGUGGUCUGCAUUACUGUACAAGCCAAACUAGCUGGAUGUACCUGUGCAAAAUGAUACAUUUGCCAACUUUGAAGGUGGCAUGAAGGAGGUAUAUUUGAACUAGGAAGGAGUUGUAACAAUCUUGUAAUGAUGUGUUCCACUCUCAUGCACCAUCCUUCGGGGAUUGUUUGAAAAAUGUCAGUGUUCACUUCCCAUCUUUGAUUCUUCUUGGUCACGGAGAUAACAAUCUGUAGAGGAAGAAGCAGGAGUGUGACGCUAUUGAGGGCUGGGAAAUAUUUUUUUAUAAGGGUGUUUUUUUCUAAUCCAGUGUUCUUAAUAAAUGCUGUACUUGUUUUGGUUCAAGCCAGUCACUGAAGAAGACUCUGUUAGACAUUUCCCACCAGUCCUGCAUAUCCCCAAACGACAAUGCCAAUGCCUUGCAUACUUAGUUAAUAGGGUGUAUUUCUCCAGUAAUUGUCAAAUAAGGGCUUAGCUAAUUUGUUAGCUAAUUUAAAAGAAAAUUAAGUUAAUAGCUUGCCUUGAGAGCAACAUGUGCAAAUCCAUGCAGAUAUAAAAAGAGAUCAUUCUUUCAAGAUAUGUUUUGGCUUACAGCAGGCAUUAAUAUUGGAAGGGAAGCCAUGAAAAGUCCCCCUACUGCCUACUAUUUGCCUACUGCCAACAUGGAAUCUUGUUGUUGGAUACAGUCAAUCGAGUUUAAGAAAAAAUUACCUUGUUCCUGCUUGCUGGCCUCCGCAGUAUCAACAGUUUGAAUGUAUUUAUGACCUUCCAAACUAAAGGUGUGACGUGCUUUGUCUGCAAAGUGGCAGGGAGCUGGCAUUCUGCCGAACUUUCUCUCUAUUCCCUGCUUUUAUGUGGUAAGGAGAUUCAUGGGUUUUGUGUUGUUGUUAUUUUUCCACUAAUUUGUGCUUUCGCCUGAAGUGUGACGCUUUGGACUGGGGGGUAGAAGACUUAAUGAGAUGGCUUUGGUGUGCCCCAGUUCUGGUAACCUUCACACCAGCCAUAAAUUGCCCACUUGUCUGCAGCCAUCCUAGCAUGACUGUGUCCCUGCGACAUGGGAGCUGCAGUGCUCGGCCACCUAACUGCUCCUGUAAUCGCUCUAUGACAUUGAGUUUGAGGUGAAAAAUUCAGGUGUUUUGAAUUCUGAGGGGAUUUUGAUCUCACCAUCAGCUAGUUCCAGUGUUGGGAUGAGGAGUAUAGGAUGAAAGUAUAACCAAGGCCUUCCUGGUCAGAGCCUGGUGAGAGGAUGAGGCAAACAGGAGGAGAAUGCACACAAUAAGAGGGAACCCUUCUAAUAAUGGGGUUUAAAUAACUAUGCUGGGAACCAUCUGUGAUUUUAACAGCCAGUUUGACUCAACUGUACUGAAUUGCCUCCACUAAUCUUUGGCAAACAUCUCUACAAUUACAUUAGUAGGAUAAAUAGGUGGCAGAGAUACUUCUAAUAAUCUCACAAUUUAGAAUUUUUCGUAUACUAUAAAACUUGGAUGUUUUAUACUCCCUCCAGCAGCCUGUGUUGUUUAAUAACCAUGAUAUUUUGGUUUUAGUUCUUGCUGUUGUAACUAUCAUCAGUCACACAUCUCUCUAGUUUAUUUAGAAAUAGCAUUUAGUCUUUGAUGUAUUAGAGAGUAAUGUUGAGAGAUAGGAAACUGUUCUUUUAGGAAUCCUAUUGAUGCAGAAGCUUGGAAUACUAAGGUUUACUUCACUAAUGACUAGCCAUUGUGAGCCCUGCUCACAUUUUCUUAUCUCCUUUCUACUUCAGUAAUUUUAUUCUCAUAAGGUAACACAAAAAAAAAGGGCUGUGAAAAGUAUGAGCUAAUGACCUAGCUAAUCAAGUCUUCUGUACAUUAGAUCAGUGUUUUCGUAUAAUGCCAGCUUGGAUGAUAUGAUAGCAUCCAAGGAUCCACUCCAAUUAAUACUCCAGUAAAGGCUUCACGAAAGGUCCUACACUGUUGGAGAAGGAUUUGUUAAAUGUGACUUCUAAAAAAAAUGCUCCCUGUUUGCAGAAUUAAACUGUGGUGUGAAAUAGAGAUUAUUGUUCAUAAAUUCUAAUAUUCAUGUAUGUGUACAUCCUGCCUUCAAUUGUAAAGUGCAAUUUCUAUCUGGAAAUAAUUAUCAGAAAUGUGAGCUAGAUUGAAAUCUAAGGAGCACACAGGUUGUUUAUAUUGCAUGGCAGACUGGAGUUCCAGCAGUUAUCCACAUACAGUGUGAAUCCACUCACUGCUGACCUUAACGAGAUGUAAGUGAAGCAGGCCUGUUUCUGUGCUGUGAAAAGAAGAGCAUGAGAACCUUGCAAUAUUGUGUAUACCUCUUGUAAAGAGUAAUAUAAUGUGAUAAAGGUGGAUGAUAAACAGUAAGAUCUUAGCUAUAGCCCAGAGAGGUAAACCUCUCUUAGGGUAUUUGAUACCAAAUUUGUUUUCAAAGGGAGAAAUAUGCCAGCCAUGGUGUGAGAGUGCAAGUGCGCUCUGGCAGUGAUUUUCUGCAGCAUCUGUAGCAUGGAGUAUGUUAUUGCUUUUUUAUUCUUUGUGCUAAUCAGGUCAGGUUUGUGCAAUUCUCAAAAUAUACAGUGACUCAUGUGUUUGUGUUUUCACUGUAGCUCAAUUUAAGAUUAAUUGGAGUCUAAUUCUCCUAAUUGUUACCUUCUUUGGAGACAUUAAAGCCUGGAUAAGAUUACAGCCCCAGUAAAAUACCACUGCUGUCUACAGGAAUCUUCAUACUGACUCCUUGAAUGGAAGCUCCUUGAGCUUUUAUUAUCUGUCUUCCUGACCUGCCUUUUUAAAAUUUUUUCACUGCUUGUAGUGUUAAGCUGGUAAUGCAUACAUGAAAAACUACCAUGAGGCCUCUCGUGAGCCUCAUUAAAACAAGAGAGAUUAGUGAGAUUGAUUGACUGAAUUGUAAACAUCUUCUGUGCCCCCCUCCACAAUUUUUAUUACAUAAUUUUCCGUUCAAGUUUGAGCAAUUGGCCUGUUCAUUAUUCUUGUAACUGUCUGUCAUUUGCUUUUGUGUGAACUAUUUUACUUUGUCUAAAUUUGAUUAAAAAAAAAAGAGCUUUAUGGUAAAAACAACAUAAUUUUUGUACAGUAAAAAGUAAGUGUACACACGGUAGAGCGAGAAAGAAACCCAGUGCGAGGGAUGCUGAAAGUCAGGUCUGUAUGUGAACUUGUUUGUCAGGUUUUGGAGGACAAAGAUGCAAGCUGCUCCUUCAGGAAAUGGGUCAAACCUAUUUCAUUCAGAAGUUUGAAAUGAGUCAUGUAUUGUCUGUAGUUCUCUGCAGACAAAAGGCCUACAAGGAAGCAAAUCCGCAUAGUGUAUUCAUGGUGUUUCUAUAACACAUUAUUUCUUCAGAAGCUUUGUACAGAUAUUAAUUCAUUAAGAUGAUUGCCUUGCCAAAGUCACUUGACCCUUUGCUUUCAGGUCUAGAGCUAAUGUAGUCAUUGAAUUAAAAUACUAAGCACUCAGAUUAAAAACAAAAAUAAUGAAACCAAACAAAAACAACAUAGAAAUAACGAUCAGAGAAUCAUCAUCCAGCUGGAAGAAAAUAAAGUUAAGAUCUAUGGAUUCCCUAGAACCAGUGGAAACUGUGCACAGUUACUCUGAUAGCAAGUAAGAGGAGUUAAAAAGAAGGGAAAAUAGAAAGUGAUUUUCUGUUUGAUCUCUGAGAUGAUACUAAUAACUCUCUUUUAUUUUCAUGUGUCCAGUUCUGUUAGGAAUUCUGUUCAAAGGACGCAGCUGGCAACAGCUGUCUUGAGUGUGCAGUGUCUAUUUUAGUGUGUUUAAUAGCGUGGUGUCUUAAGUUAAACACAUUGCACAUUGAAUGUCUAUUUUUUUGUAUGCAGUCUAUAAAGAGUAGUUAGCAUCUUAACAGAAUGACUGUUUUGUAUGUUACGUUAUCUCUGUUGUUCUCCUCCAUGCUGGUCAGACUGUACUGCACUAGAUGUGUCUAAAAUGAAUGCAAAACCAUAGUUUGAACACAAAAGGCAUAAGGCAUAAGCAAAGAGCUAAACACAGUAGUAGUACUUGGUAGAAUGAAACCUCAUGGCAGUUGUGUCAGCUCCUUCAACAAAACUUGCAUUGUUAGCUCAAACACUGAUGUCAAAUUGCUGUAGUUUUCUGUAGGAGUAUUAGAUAUGAAUGCCCAUACCCUAAACUCACAUUAUAUUGAAAAUCUUUCUCUCUCUACACCAGUCCCAUGCUCUUUGCAGGGCAGGAAGCAAUAGUGGCUCCUUCAGCUGUUGGCUGUGCCAACGAUUAACAGGACUCUGGUGCUGAUCCACAUGGUCCACAGGGCUAAUUUGCUCCUAAUAGCCUUGCCAGCACCCUGGGCUGGGCUCCCCUUCUUCCUGGGGCAGGGAGGAGGAACGCUCUGAUCUCAGAGCAGCCCUCAGGAAAAGGCAGAGUAGAGGCACAGAAGCCUCCAUUUCCAGAAGCGUUCGGAAAUCAGUCCCUCCGCCCAGAUGAAUGAAGCCAUUCAUUCCAGCGGGUGUGGGUGGGGAGAGACUGGGAUCUAAAAGACCUGCCCGAUUUUGUAAAUGACCUGGACUAUUCCUAUGGCAUGUCGGACUACCCUGGCCAGCCUCCUCCCUGGCAGGGAGGUAAGGGCAGCGCAUUCCUAGUUUGCUGCCUCACAGACUCUGGCUGCUCUCUCCUUGCCCCUCUACUUACAGCAAUACUGGCUUUUUUGCUUCCACCCAUCCUGGCUGUGCCUGCAUCCCAGACACCCUGCUCGACCUUUUAGCCUUUGUCUCCUUUCUCUCACCCCCUCACUUGACUUACAAGCCAAGAGCAGCACUCCCACUUGCUGAAAGAGCCUUGCCCCUGUUUUCCCAAAACACUGCUCCUUCUCUGAUCCGCUUUCUCUCUUGCCAUUCCAUUUCUUUCAACAAAGCAUAUUUACCCUCUGCCCCUUGCCUCACCCUGCCCUCUUGAGACCUCCAAUCCAUUAAUGUCUAUCACUUUUUUGUCACUCUCAGCAUCUUCUCUCUGCUGUCUGUUCUCUUAAGUGACCUUAGUUAUUGCUUCCCUUCCCUUCACUCUUUCCUUGAUCUUCAGCUCUUUCUUCACUGACUCCUCAGAAAAUCUGCCCCAUGAACCCAUUCAACCCAGCUUCAUGACAAUAGCUAUCACCGUUCUCUGCUGGUCAUCUUCCCUAUAUGUUUUGCUUCUUCCUUUCUGUGUACUCUGACCAUCGCUUCAACCCAGGGAACACUUUCUUUGAAUUGUCCUUUCUCCCAGCUCUCCUUCAGGUCCUUUUCUGAAGUCUCCUUGUAGUUUGAUACAAGUGACAUUUAGGAUAGAAUACACUCACCAUUCCUCCAAAUGACUUUUUAUGAAACCUGUCCUGCUUUUCUUGCUCUUAGAAUGGGACUAAGAAUCUAUACUUUACUCUCCUUCUAGACAACACAGUCUCCACAGUUCUCUAGUUUGUUGGCAUGACUGCAUACAGAUGCUGGAUGAAGCAAGAGGCUAUUUUACCCCAGUGGUUCUGGGUACAGCUCUGACCCGUAGGUCUGCACCAGGUCAACAGCACAGGAGAUCACCUCUUAUCAACCCUGUAGCUUCAAAUGCUCUAGCCAUCCAUUUUUUGUAAUAGUUGGUAAUAAUUUAUUUUUAUCCUGCUAUAUUUGCCAUGAUUGAACUUCCCUGACUCUUUACAGUAGAAAUUCUUCUGAUUUAUUAAAAGUGUCUCCUUCUUGCUCACUUGUCUGAAGUAGGCACCAAUUCAAUUUUAUUUCCCCUAAAACAAAGUUAGGUAGGAUCUAAAUACUUGGAUUUGCUGGGAAAACUUAGUUUUUUUGAGUGCUAUUUCCCAAAGGGAGUUGUCAUUAAAUUUCAACCUGGAAUUAGUUUGGUAUUUAAUUCUUUUCUCCUUUCUAAGAAAACUUUUCACAAAUCUUUGCAGCAAAGGGACUGGAAUUGCAUUCCUCACAGAAAGAAUGUUCCUAGCUGAACAACUGUUACAGUAUUUGGUAGGAUCAUUUAUCUGAGCUGGCAUGAAAAUAUAAAUAACAUUAAAUUAAAUGAUAUUUUUUGAUACAAUUAUGAAUUUGAAAAUAAUUCUUACUUUACUACUACUGAGACGGGAAAACUGAACAGCUAGAAAUAAUGCUGAUUACAGUAGAAUAAGCUGUAGAGCUCCAAGAGGAAGUCUUGAUUAAAGACAGCAUUAAGCUCCAAGGAAAAUGGAGACUUGGAAAAAUCUUUCAAUAUUGUAACUUGAGAAUGUUUGCCUUUACGGGAGGGAAGGAAGAUGGAUGAUGCUUGAGCUGUGCCUGAAAUAAAAAUGCCUUUACUCUUUCCUUCUGACUAAAGCUUUUAAAAUUUUAUUGAAAUACUGUGAUUGUGCUUAAACAUAUAUUUGCAAAAAAAAGUAAGUUGUCAAUCUAGGAAAUGAAGAAUCCCUAAAACUAGCAAAAUCUUUUGAAUAAACUGUGUGAAACUAGUUUCUGAGCAAGGAAGCUUAAAUAUUUCCUCUUUCUUGAUCACUCUUGAUGGAGAUACUGGUCAAGCUCUUCCUCCUUUGAGGCUCUUUUCUCAUUGUGACUCUUUGUUUCGCAUUGUUCUAUCUGUGCCUCUUGAUGUGGAAUAACUUGAAAAGCUGGAAAUAACUAUGAGUAUAGUUCCAUAAUUCCAUAUAACCUGGAAAGGUUAUGCACCUAUGUCCAUUUCAUGUCUUCCCAAAUAACCUGGAAUUCUUGCAUUACUUAGACCUGACUGUAUGUUAACCGUUGGAGUCCUGUUUCCUGCGUGAACUGCUUCCAUCUAUACCUCAGUCAGCAUUAUGCUGUUCUUGUCUCUGUCUGUACUUUAUGCUGUCUGCCAUACAUGUAUCUAUGGAAAAAAAAUUGCUGCAGACAGUAAAUGCAUUAUAUCCCAUUCUUGGUAGACUUGGAGAUUGUAAUUCUCCACUUUCCAAAUUAAUAUUUUUACAAAAAAAUAAUUCUGAAACUCCUGUGGCCUUGUAAAAAUUCUACCUUUUUGUGUAUUGUAUAAAGCAGACAGAACUGGAGAGAGAAUCAAAAGGAGGUAUAUUUAGGUGCCAGUAAGUACAGUUAAGUGGAAUAAUUACAGUGGUCCAGACAAUGAUGAUAUUCCUUACACUUUGAUCAGCAUCUCUUAAUCUCUUCUAUGAUAAAUUUAAAAGGUUUGUCAUCUUCAUUUCCAGCUACUGGAGUUGGAUCCAGUCUGGUGCCCAUAUGACUGCUAAGUCUGGUGUCCUGUCAACUUUAAGGAAGUUUGGCUCCAAGAGUACUUUGCUGUUACAGUCUAGGGUGUAGAAAAACAACACAGACUUCGAAUGCAUUUCAUUUUGAUCUCUGGAGAUCCAACAGACUAGUCAUGACUGUGAGUGUGGCCAGUUUGUAGGGAAAUUGUCCCACAUGCUGACUGUAUAUCUGAUGUCCAAAUCAACUCAGUGGCAUCAAAGGGAUAUCUGAAAGGAAACGAGAAAGGAAGUAAAUCUGAAAACAGCUCAGAAACUUGUAUGCAACAUCUGAAAGGGUUUGGCCCCCUUAUGAACUGCUGACAGUUUUGUCACUGCUGUCUGUGUGUGAG